rnacentral:misc_RNA from 1 species
GAUGAAGAACGUAGCGAAAUGCGAUAAGUAAUGUGAAUUGCAGAAUUCAGUGAAUCAUCGAAUCUUUGAACGCACCUUGCGCUCUUUGGUAUUCCGAAGAGCAUGCCUGUUUGAGUGUCAUGAAAAUAUCAACCUUGACUUGGGUUUUGUGCUCUAGUCUCGGCUUGGAAUUGGGUGCUUGCCGCUUUUACGAGCGGCUCACCUUAAAUGUAUUAGCUGGAUCUGUCUUUGAGACUUGGUUUGACUUGGCGUAAUAAGUAUUUCGCUAUGGACAUUCUUCGGAGUGGCCUCGUUUCUAGGACGCUUGUCCGCUUUCCAAUACAAGUUCCACCUCGUGGACAUGACUUUUUAUUAUCUGGCCUCAAAUCAGGUAGGACUACCCGCUGAACUUAAGCAUAUCAAUAAGCGGAGGA